GCGGGAUUCGUAUAGUGGCAAUACGCGACCUUCCCAAGGUUGAGACACGGGUCCGAUUCCCGUAUCCCGCUCAA
rnacentral:tRNA from 6 species